GCAGACUCACUCUGUGUAAGGCUGAUACCUCCAGCCUUAGACUUUUUCUGUCUGCUACAUUAACAUGAAGAGUGCUACAAACCGCCUUGCCUGUCACUUGGCAGGUGACUGUACCUUCUCAGACAUUUAU